rnacentral:rRNA from 1 species
GAGGCGUCCGGACUGGCCUAGGGAGGUCGGCAACGACCACCCAGGGCCGGAAAGUUCGUCAAACUUGGUCAUUUAGAGGAAGUAAAAGUCGUAACAAGGUCUCCGUAGGUGAACCUGCGGAGGGAUCAUU